AUGGUCUCAGUGUGUGUGAUUGCAAGAGAAGGGACUUCUGAGGUGAUGGAGCACCCCUCCAGUGCAAGGCCUCAGUGGUUCCAUCACCCUGGACCACAGCUGAGCGGUGACCUUAGAGAGAAGUCGCAAUAUCCACGGCAACUAGGCCUCCCUCCGGCUUAUCUCACUGUUCUUCAUAAUAAUGGGAAUGAAGGAGACCAAGGUAUCAUGACCUUGCUUCAUAGGUUUGGCUUUAUGGUGAGUGGUGAAAUGUUCUGCACUAUUCUCCCUCCCUGCUGUUCCACCUUUGCCUUGCUGUGUCCUUGUCUAUCCUUGCUUAUUCCUCCUACCUGCUCCCAGUUCCUCCAUCUCUCAUCAGCCUUUCCAACUUUCCUUCUUCCCCAUCAGUAACAUAAUCGCUCUCCUUUCUCUGGGAGGUACCUUGUGCCUGUGGAUCUCCUCCAAAGUCUUGGGUAGCUCACUUCAUGAUGCUCCAGAUGACCAGGCUUUGCCC
rnacentral:lncRNA from 1 species